rnacentral:tRNA from 1 species
GUGAAUAUAGUUUAAAAAAACCUCUAGAUUGUGAUUCUAGCAAUAAAGAUUAAAAUUCUUUUAUUCACC